rnacentral:lncRNA from 1 species
CGCCCUGUCGUUAUUGCAUUCUCUACAGUCUAUAUUGCAGCAUAAUAACUGGAGCUAGUUAUAUAUAUUUCAGCAUCGACGAGACCCAUCUUUGCAUCUCACUAGUUUGCCACUUUGUGCCGCGCAUUUGUGGGUUGUUUGUGUUGCAUGCUCUGUGAAGCGUAACACACAUAGAUCUGAAUAUUUUACCAACCUCCUAAGCUAAGCCUAUUCAGCCAGAAAGCUCAUAGCAGCUACCUGCAUCCGACAUGACCGAGAGGAAGGAGAGUUCGAAGCUGGGGAAGCAUCGAAGCUGCGUGAAGCAGCAGAAGGGGAAGCUUUACAUCAUCAAGUUGUGCAUCACCAUGCUCAUCUGCGGCGGCCCAAAUUAAAUUGAGUACGCAUCAUGCGCUGCUUUCAUCCCUAAACCUGUAUGGAUUUUAGUUUUGAUCGAGUCGAUCAGCAAGAAUCUAUCUAAGCUCGAUCCCUGUAUAUCCACACAGGUGCCAUCAUAUGUGUUGAACAUGAGAUGUAAUCCAUAGAGAAAAUGUAAUCCAACUGUUUAUGGAUCCAAUACUAUGUUGAAUAAUAUGUCUACACAGCUUACUUUUAGCUAUAUAGUUUGUAUGAACUUCUUAUUCUGUACAGAUCAAGUAUGUACUUAAUCCAUCUUUUGACUCAAAUUUGUGGGCUACAACUAAAGUAACUACCUUCUGCCAUAGUCAUCUUUUCUACCCAAUGAAAUUUGAG